rnacentral:rRNA from 1 species
GACGAACGCUGGCGGCGUGCUUAACACAUGCAAGUCGAGCGGUAAGGCCCUUUCGGGGGUACACGAGCGGCGAACGGGUGAGUAACACGUGGGUGACCUGCCCUUAGCUCUGGGAUAAGCCUGGGAAACUGGGUCUAAUACCGGAUAUGACUCCAUGACGCAUGUUGUGGGGUGGAAAGCCUUGUGCGGCUAGGGAUGGGCCCGCGGCCUAUCAGCUUGUUGGUGGGGUGAUGGCCUACCGAGGCGACGACGGGUAGCCGGCCUGAGAGGGCGGCCGGCCACACUGGGACUGAGACACGGCCCAGACUCCUACGGGAGGCAGCAGUGGGGAAUCUUGCGCAAUGGGCGAAAGCCUGACGCAGCGACGCCGCGUGAGGGAUGACGGCCUCGGUUGUAAC